rnacentral:rRNA from 1 species
GAUGAACGCUGGCGGCGUGCCUAAUACAUGCAAGUAGAACGCUGAAGGAAGGAGCUUGCUCUUUCCGGAUGAGUUGCGAACGGGUGAGUAACGCGUAGGUAACCUGCCUGGUAGCGGGGGAUAACUAUUGGAAACGAUAGCUAAUACCGCAUAACAGUAGAUGUUGCAUGAUAUCUACUUAAAAGGUGCAAUUGCACCACUACCAGAUGGACCUGCGUUGUAUUAGCUAGUUGGUGAGGUAACGGCUCACCAAGGCGACGAUACAUAGCCGACCUGAGAGGGUGAGCGGCCACACUGGGACUGAGACACGGCCCAGACUCCUACGGGAGGCAGCAGUAGGGAAUCUUCGGCAAUGGACGGAAGUCUGACCGAGCAACGCCGCGUGAGUGAAGAAGGUUUUCGGAUCGUAAAGCUCGGUUGUAAGAGAAGAACGAGUGUGAGAGUGGAAAGUUCACAAUGUGACGGUAACUGACCAGAAAGGGACGGCUAACUACGUG